rnacentral:rRNA from 1 species
UAGGGAAUCUUCCACAAUGGACGAAAGUCUGAUGGAGCAACGCCGCGUGAGUGAAGAAGGGUUUCGCUCGUAAACUCUGUUGUUAAAGAAGAACAUAUCUGAGAGUAACUGUUCAGGUAUUGACGGUAUUUAACCAGAAAGCCACGGCUAACUACGUGCCAG